rnacentral:rRNA from 1 species
GACGAACGCUGGCGGCGUGCCUAAUACAUGCAAGUAGAACGCUGAAGAGAGGAGCUUACUCUUCUUGGAUGAGUUGCGAACGGGUGAGUAACGCGUAGGUAACCUGCCUUGUAGCGGGGGAUAACUAUUGGAAACGAUAGCUAAUACCGCAUAACAAUGGAUGACACAUGUCUUUUAUUUGAAAGGGGCAAUUGCUCCACUACAAGAUGGACCUGCGUUGUAUUAGCUAGUAGGUGAGGUAAUGGCUCACCUAGGCGACGAUACAUAGCCGACCUGAGAGGGUGAUCGGCCACACUGGGACUGAGACACGGCCCAGACUCCUACGGGAGGCAGCAGUAGGGAAUCUUCGGCAAUGGGGGCAACCCUGACCGAGCAACGCCGCGUGAGUGAAGAAGGUUUUCGGAUCGUAAAGCUCUGUUGUAAGUCAAGAACGGGUGUGAGAGUGGAAAGUUCACACUGUGACGGUAGCUUACCAGAAAGGGACGGCUAACUACGUG